rnacentral:rRNA from 1 species
UACGGAGGGUCCAAGCGUUAUCCGGAAUCAUUGGGUUUAAAGGGUCCGUAGGCGGUUUUGUAAGUCAGUGGUGAAAGCCCAUCGCUCAACGGUGGAACGGCCAUUGAUACUGCAAGACUUGAAUUAUUGGGAAGUAACUAGAAUAUGUAGUGUAGCGGUGAAAUGCUUAGAGAUUACAUGGAAUACCAAUUGCGAAGGCAGGUUGCUAGCAAGAUAUUGACGCUGAUGGACGAAAGCGUGGGGAGCGAACAGG